rnacentral:ncRNA from 1 species
ACACACACGGGAGGCUCUGACGCGCGGCCCGCACACGGCCGCCGGGACCGCGCCGAGCCACUGGCGAGACCGACCCGCAGGGU